GGUCUCGUAGCUCAGCAGGUAGAGCUUCUGUCUCUUAAACAGAUGCGCGUCGGUUCGAUCCCGACCGGGGCCA
rnacentral:tRNA from 1 species